UGGAUAGCCUCCCUGCAGAAACAGGUCUGUGGGCAGGAGGGCACAUGCCAAGGGCUGCAUGUAGCAGCGAGGCAGCUGCUGGCUCCCUCAGUGGGAGAAGCAGCCAUAAGGCACGGAGGCUUGCAGAGAUGGCCUGAGAUCAUCCCAAGCACUCAGCGGACAUGCACGUCAGAGACCAAUUAUAGGCUGGGUUUUUCCUGAGCAAAGAGGAAGUUCUAAAUUACAGUGCCAGCAAACCGAGCGAUAUCCAGAAGGAGAUUUAGAUGCUCACCCUGCCCUUGAAAGGAGCAGAAGGGUAAGAUGUCUGUUUUACAGCUAUCACCACACUCAGUUGCCUCUUCAUCAGUUGGGUAUGGGGUGGUGGUCUCUUCGCUCUUCAAAGUGGGCACCAGCGUCUCUGCAGUGGGC